rnacentral:rRNA from 1 species
AUGGAGAAGUUCGCUAGAAGGAAGAAGAGUUGGGCGGCGAGGAGGAGAAGAAGGCGGUCUGCGAGCUGCUUGCACGCGCAGCAGCAGGAGUCCGCCAGUGAGGUUAUCGAGGUGGAGGUCAACGGGGUGAGACAGAGAAGUGGAGUUCUCAUAAAGAAACGCAGGUGCUGCCUGGAUUCGCCAUCGUGGCCGCCGCCUCCAGUCGCUUCCACCUGGACAUCCUUCGCCAACAAGAUGAUGAGGUAUGGCAUGGAAUGGUUGGGUUUUGAGUGGAGGCGAGAGAAGAAGAAAAGAGGGGUUGUCAGGUCGGACCUUGGGGGGUGUACUCUCUCCCUCAAGAUGCAUGGAAAUUUGGAGCAGUUAAUCCCAAUAGCGAGACAUGAGUUAUGCUCAAGGGAGUAUCAACAAGAACUUAAUGCAGGAUGCAGCCAGAUUGGGUCCAUUCCCGAUGGAGUGGAACUGGAGCUUCCAGGGGAUGGUUCUGAUCCAGUUCCAUUAAGGGUGUAUUUUUUUUGGAGCUUGGCCUGGUGUGGUUUUGUCCAUGCCUAUGAACAGGCUGCCCUCCAUGCCAUAAGAUUUUUAUAG